GAUGAAGAACGUAGCGAAAUGCGAUAAGUAAUGUGAAUUGCAGAAUUCAGUGAAUCAUCGAAUCUUUGAACGCACAUUGCGCCCGCUAGUAUUCUGGCGGGCAUGCCUGUCCGAGCGUCAUUUCAACCCUCAAGCCCCCAGGCUUGGUGUUGGGGAUCGGCGAGCCUCCGCGCCCGCCGUCCCCUAAAUCUAGUGGCGCUCUCGCUGUAGCUUCCUCUGCGUAGUAGCACACCUCGCACUGGGAAACAGCGCGGCCACGCCGUUAAACCCCCAACUUCUGAACGUUUGACCUCGGAUCAGGUAGGAAUACCCGCUGAACUUAAGCAUAUCAAUAAGCGGAGGA
rnacentral:misc_RNA from 1 species